GAGCGAGGGCGCGAGCGUUUGUCCGGAUUUAUUGGGCGUAAAGAGCUCGUAGGCGGUUUGUCGCGUCUGCUGUGAAAACCCGAGGCUCAACCUCGGGCCUGCAGUGGGUACGGGCAGACUAGAGUGCGGUAGGGGAGAAUGGAAUUCCUGGUGUAGCGGUGAAAUGCGCAGAUAUCGGGAAGAACACCCGUGGCGAAGGCGGCGUCUCUGGGACGGU
rnacentral:rRNA from 1 species